rnacentral:rRNA from 1 species
UGGGGAAUAUUGGGCAAUGGGCGAAAGCCUGACCCAGCAACGCCGCGUGGAGGAAGAAGGUUUUCGGAUCGUAAACUCCUGUCCUCAGGGAAGAGAAAGAGACGGUACCUGAGGAGGAAGCCCCGGCUAACUACGUGCCAGCAGCCGCGGUAAUACGUAGGGGGCAAGCGUUGUCCGGAAUGAUUGGGCGUAAAGGGCGCGUAGGCGGCUUGGUAAGUCUGGAGUGAAAGUCCUGGCUUCAAGUUGGGAAUUGCUUUGGAUACUGUCGGGCUUGAGUGCAGGAGAGGUUAGUGGAAUUCCCAGUGUAGCGGUGAAAUGCGUAGAGAUUGGGAGGAACACCAGUGGCGAAGGCGACUAACUGGACUGUAACUGACGCUGAGGCGCGAAAGUGUGGGGAGCAAACAGG